GUAGGCCUACGGGGGGCAGCAGUCGAGAAUCAUUCACAAUGGGGGAAACCCUGAUGGUGCGACGCCGCGUGGGGGAAUGAAGGUCUUCGGAUUGUAAACCCCUGUCAUGUGGGAGCAGAUUAAAAAGAUAGUACCACAAGAGGAAGAGACGGCUAACUCUGUGCCAGCAGCCGCGGUAAUACAGAGGUCUCAAGCGUUGUUCGGAAUCACUGGGCGUAAAGCGUGCGUAGGCUGUUUCGUAAGUCGUGUGUGAAAGGCGCGGGCUCAACCCGCGGCAGGCAAAUG
rnacentral:rRNA from 1 species